UACGGGGGGAGCAAGCGUUGUUCGGAUUUACUGGGCGUAAAGGGCGCGUAGGCGGCCAGCACAAGUCAGUUGUGAAAUCUCCGGGCUUAACUCGGAAAGGUCAACUGAUACUGUGCGGCUAGAGUGCAGAAGGGGCAACUGAAAUUCUCGGUGUAGCGGUGAAAUGCGUAGAUAUCAGGAGGAACACCGGUGGCGAAGGCGGGUCUCUGGGCCGAUACUGACGCUGAGGAGCGAAAGCGUGGGGAGCGAACAGG
rnacentral:rRNA from 1 species